UACUAAAUAUUGUCUUAUUGUUCUGAUUGUCACACCUGGGACACAUUUAAGGGACUCUGUCCACCUUUUUUUGGGCAAGUUACAGACAUUUGUUGCAGUC